rnacentral:lncRNA from 1 species
CGGAGUUCUGGGAAUCCCCUAACCCGGGGAGCUGCAGACGACUCACUGGCCCCGGGCCGCGGUUCCGCGGGUGGCCGCUGUACGCUUGAGACACCUGGUCCGCAGAAGUCAGGUGCCCUGGCAGGAGGGACUGGCUUACGCCACCCUGCGCAGGAUCAUCUUCUCAGCUUACAGAGCCUAGUGUGAUUCAACAACCCUCCAUCUCUGCCCACAACAUGCCCA